GACAUGACGUCGCCUUCUACAGCGCUCGCGACCGCCGCACCGUGCUCGAACUGAUAAAACACAUGCUCAGUCGCUCACGAGCAUUGAAAGAGUUGAGUGAUUUAUCUGAUGCAGCAGGCAACAUGGAGUGGAAACAAGCCUUCACUCAUCAUGGACAGUUAAUGGAACAACAACAACAACACCUCACUGAUCUCAAUGCCAAGAUCGAUCUCAUCACACAAACUAUCUCUGCAUUACCUCCACCCACACGGAUCAUCGCCAAUGACCCACCGAUGCCCAUGCCCAACAAAUUCUCAGGUGACGUUUCUCAGUGCAAAGGCUUUUUGCUACAAUGCUCCUUGUAUUUCUCCAGUAGAAGGAAUGUCUGAACCUAACAAAAUUGCACGUUUUAUGAAUCUACUCACUGGGAAAGCAUUAUUGUGGGCAUCUGCUGUAUGGGAAAAAGGUAGAGAAUCUGUUUCCUCAUAUCAGCACUUCACUGAAUUAUUUAAAUGUGUGUUUGAUCAUUCACCUAAUGGCAGAGAAAUGGGGGAGAAACUCUUAGACCUCACACAAGGAAAUCGCCGUGUGUCUGAUUAUACCUUGGACUUCAGAACAAUCUCCGCAGGAAGCGGUUUUAAUGACACAGCGCUUGAGUCCAUAUUUCAUCGAGGUUGAAACCCAGAGAUAUUAACAGAGCUGGCAUGCAGAGAUGAACAACUUUCCCUUGACUCACUCAUUGAUUUAUCCAUUUGUCUUGAUCUUCUGCUAUUAAAUCGUCCUUUGCCUAUCAUCAAGAAAGCACUACUACCUCCCAACGAAACCAUGGAACCCAUGCAAAUCAGACGUGCACGAUUAAGUGAAGCGGAAAGAGAAAGAAGACGCAGAGAACAUUGUUGUUUUAACUGCGGUAAACCAGAUCAUCUCAUUGAAAAUUGUGCUCUCCGCGCUUCCUCCGGCAGAAUCAUGAACAGCAGUCCCAAUGCCCGCUCAAACCUGGUGAGUCCCUUCCAAGCUACUGUCGACAGAAAUUUUACGAUACCUGUUACUCUAUGAUACUCUGAAAUGUUUUCUGUGUUAACAGCAAUGAUUGACUCAGGAGCUGCUGGUAACUUGAGACUGUGAAAAAAUUAAAUAUACCUACGGAGUCAUUGUUACUACCCAAGUGUAUUCCGGUCAUUGAUGGAGGACCUAUUGGAGAUGGUGUUAUAACUCAUCACACCCUCAUGCUUCAGGUUUUCCUUGGUUGGAGCUACAUAAUCCUCAGCUCUCUUGGUCUAAUUGAGAACUCACCUGUUCUUCAUACUGUCAUGUCCAUUGCCUUCAACCGCCCAAGCUCACUAUUGGAACCAUGACCAUAGAAAGUCCACAGCAUCACUCCACGUUUAAACUUCCAGUCGAAUAUCAAGAUCUAGUGUCUGAACAGAGAGCCAUGGAAGAAUUUCUACAAGAAGCCCUCCAACAGGGAUAUAUUUGGUCAUCCACAUCUCCUGCUUCCACUGGCUUCUUCUUCGUAGAAAAGAAGGGAGGUGGACUCAGACCAAGUAUCGACUACAGGGGCCUCAAACAAUGCACAGUGAAAUACUGCUAUCCUCUGCCCCUAGUACCUUCUGCCUUAGAGGAAUUAUGUUCUGCCCAGUGGUACACCAAGCCAGAUCUCCACAGUGCCUAUAACCUGGUCCGCAUUCGACAAGCUGACGAGUGGAAGACCACUUUUAGCACCACCUCUGGUCACUACGAGUACUGCGUGAUGCCCUAUAGAAUUGCCAAUGCCCCUUCUGUUUUUUGAUAUAUUCACCAUCACUUAAGUCACAUGUUCAACAUGUCUGCCAAGUCCUUCAAUGCCUCUUGAAACACCAACUUUACAUUAAAUGAGAGAAAUGUGAAUUCCACAAGCAAACUGUGUCCUUCCUGGGCUAUGUCAUUAGUCCCGAUGGGAUCUCCAUGGACCCAUCCAAGAUCACGGCAGUAACUGAAUGGCCUACUCCUCGAACAGUCAAAGAUCUCCAAAGAUUCUUAGGCUUUGCUAAUUUUUAUCGAUGCUUCAUUUGUGAUUUUAGCUCCAUCGCCAGCCCCCUCACAUCCCUACUUCAAGGGAAAUCUAAGCGCCUAACUUGGAACCCCGCUGCUGAUCAAGCUCUGAGUCCACUAAAACUGCAUUCACCACAGCACCCAUCCUCAAGCAUCCUAACCCAUCUAAACCUUUCAUCGUAGAAGUAGAUGCUUCUGAAACCGGAGUAGGUGCUGUUCUUUCCCAGCGAUUCGGAGACAAACCCAAACUUCACCCAGUUGCCGCCUUCUCCAGGAAACUAUCUUCAGCAGAACAGAACUAUGACAUCUUUAAUCAAGAACUACUAGCUGUGAAACUAGCUCUAGAGGAGUGGCAACAUUGGCUAGAAGGAGCUGAACCUCCAUUCACUGUGUACACUGACCACAAGAACCUCGAAUAUCUCCGAACCGCCAAGCGUAUGAACUCACGUCAAGCUAGAUUGUCUCUUAGCAAGGUUCCAGUUUACACUGUCUUACCGCCCAGGCUCCAAGAAUGAUAAAGCCGAUGCCUUGUCUCGCAUGCAUGCCACAGAACCUCAAGUCACAAGAAUAUAUCUUACCUAAUAACUGUGUAGUGGGCGCCAUCGAUUGGGAGUUGGAUCAGGAAAUAUCUAGAGUACCUUGUAAUGAGAUACCUACCUCAUGUCCACCCAAUAAGUACUUUGUUCCACCCAGGCUGAGGAUCAAGGUCAUCACCUGGGCACAUACCUCCGUUGCCACUGGCCACCCAGGAGUGCAGCGAACUUACAAUCUACUGCGAGGAAAAUAUUGGUGGCCCAACAUGGUAGCUGACAUCUGUCGAGUGAUUAAAGUCAUCCUAAACUCUCGCCGCAGGGGCAUCCGAUUUGAAAAUCUGGUCGAUUGGGAGGGAUACGGACCAGAAGAACAAUCAUGGAUACCAGCACAAGAUAUUCUGGACCCCAACCUCUGCUGAGAGUUCUAUGCCAGACACCCUGAAUGCCCAGGUCCUCGCCCUAGGGGGAGACCUAGGAGAAAUGGUGCUCCCUGAGGGAGCCCUCUUCAACUAAGUUCGAAGUUCAGUAAAAAUUUUAAAUGGCUAUCAGUAGACAAGACAAAACUAUCACAUGCAUUUAAAUCAGCUGUUUACUACUUUGUCCCCAUUAUAAUAUUAAUUGACAAUGUAAUAUCGCAGCUUCCAUUGUAUGAAGUGUGUGUGUUUUUACUCUCUUCUGUCCUAUACAACUGAUAGACCUAUUUACUAUACAGUAUAUUCCAUACAGCUAAAUAUACAAUAUGUAACAUACUUUGUCACUUCUUUUCUAUAAGUUAUUAUCAUUAAUUAAUUCUGAAAUUUAGUUUUUUUUAAUAAUUAAAAAAUAAUAUUAUUUCAAAUUAACAAUUCUAACAAAAGGAUAGUUCACCAAUAAAUGAAAAUUCUCUCAUUUAUUCACCCUCAUGCCAUCCCAGAUGUGUAGGACUUUCUUUACUUCUGCAGAACACAAAUUAAGAUUUUUAGAAGAAUAUUUCAGCUCCGUAGGUCCAUACAAUGAUGAUUUGAUUUGAUUUACAAAGACAAUUUUUUUUCAGUAAAAAAAUAAAUAAAAUGUCCAUACAUGUAGUUUUCGUGUACUCUUUCUAUUUAAACAGAAUUUCUCCACAUUCCAUCUCUAUGUAAUAAUGUAUUUCGUUCCACAGCAUUCUCAGAAAAGUCUGAAAUAGUUAAUUGCAAAACACACACACACACACAAAACAUAUUCUCUCAUGGGAAGUGAUUGUUACCUUGAUAUUUUUUAUAUUCUUAUAUUUGGCAUACAGUGAAACCACAAAUGUGUUUUUGACGUCUGAUCAUAUCAAUAGUGGGAGUUACCGGAAUAUGGGUGGGGGGAAAAAUAACGUGCCGCAGAGCCAUACGUCACUGCAGUUUCAGUCCGGAAGUUGUCUUUGUAAUAAUAUCUUAAUAAAUCUAUCAUUAUUUGGUGAACAAUGAAUCUAUAUAUUAAUGCUUAGUUUUUAUCUGCUUACUACUCAAUCUGUAGGUGUGUUUCUUGUUAUUCUUACUGAAGCUUGACAUUUUUGACAUGCUUUAAUAAAUCAAAUAUUUGAUAAAGUCACUGAAACUUUUUUAAUAUAUUUCUGAAUAUAAAUGGGUUGGUGCCUUUUGUUUUGUUUUAUUUAGGUCUAUGGUUUGAGUUUAUGGUAGCCUACUAAUAAUACUCUUGAGCGCUGUAAGUAUUUUGUUGCAUUUGCCAAAGUUACCGACAUUGAGCAAUGCAUGUGGUGGAUUUUUUCCCUUGUAGAGACAUUACGAUUAGAGAGGUCAACAUUACCUCAGUUGCAGCAAUGCAAACCCUGUUGCAGCAAUUUUCACUGCCCUUUUAUCCAAAGCCACUCCAACAAGGCAGUUGUCCAUGAUGAUAUAACACCU